CACGCUGUAAACGAUGAAUACUAGGUGUCGGGUGGCAAAGCCAUUCGGUGCCGCAGCUAACGCAAUAAGUAUUCCACCUGGGGAGUACGUUCGCAAGAAUGAAACUCAAAGGAAUUGACG
rnacentral:rRNA from 1 species